AUGAACGCUAGCGAUAGGCCUAACACAUGCAAGUCGAGGGGCAUCACGUCUUCGGAUGGUGGCGACCGGCGCACGGGUGAGUAACACGUAUGCAACCUACCCAUAACACUGGGAUAGCCCGUUGAAAGACGGAUUAAUACCGGAUAAUACAGGGGCACCGCCUGGUGCUAUUUGUUAAAGAUUUAUUGGUUAUGGAUGGGCAUGCGCUGGAUUAGCUAGUUGGUAAGGUAACGGCUUACCAAGGCAACGAUCCAUAGGGGAACUGAGAGGUUUAUCCCCCACACUGGUACUGAGACACGGACCAGACUCCUACGGGAGGCAGCAGUGGGGAAUAUUGGUCAAUGGACGAGAGUCUGAACCAGCCAAAUCGCGUGAAGGAAGACGGUAUUAUGUAUUGUAAACUUCUUUUAUAGGGGAAUAAAGUGAGGGACGUGUCCCUUUUUGUAUGUACCCUAUGAAUAAGCAUCGGCUAACUCCGUGCCAGCAGCCGCGGUAAUACGGAGGAUGCGAGCGUUAUCCGGAUUUAUUGGGUUUAAAGGGUGCGUAGGUGGACCGGUCAGUCAGUGGUGAAAUCUCGGGGCUUAACUCCGAAACUGCCAUUGAAACUUCCGGGUCUUGAGUGUGAACGAGGUAGGCGGAAUUCGUAGUGUAGCGUGAAAUGCAUAGAUAUACGAGACUCCGAUA
rnacentral:rRNA from 1 species